CUCUGAGAUAUGCAAUCAACAGAAACAGAAUAUAUGAAGUAUUCAGUAUUAUUUCUUUCAACAUGUUUUCUAUCAAUUAUAAGACACUAGAUCCUUGGUAUAAAUCUAAUCAAUUAAAAUUGAGACAAGUCCGAUAGUUUAUUUUACUAUAUUUCAGUUCUUAAGUAUUUUUACUGGCUAUAAUUAUGGCUUGGGGCAGCACCUAAAUUUAAUCCACUUCUAUCAGUUUAUUCUCUACCCUUCUUUCGUAUGAGUACUUUCUAUCAAUUGCGUUCAAUCCACGCAGGUAAUAUUCCGAGUAGUAUCCUGGGGCGCCGUAAAUCGUCGUGGCGUUGAGCCACUUCUGUGUGGUAGAACCUUAAGUUAGGUGUAGUCGUUCGCGGCGUCGCGGCACCGAUACUCUUCGUGUUACUGCCGUGCGCAACGCACGUCAUUCAAGGUGGCGGGAUUUGAGGCUCGCAUCAAUCCAAUAGGAAUGUCUCUUGCCAUGACAACCAUGACCAACGGUAAUGGCAACGGGAAUAAUACUUCUAAUCAAAUGAACACACGUCCCGACGACAUACGUAAUCGAAUAAUCGGUGGUAAGCCAGUCUGUCUAAUUACUGUGUGUUGUCUAUUUCCUUAGUUAUGGACCUGAUUGACGAUCGAUAAUCGAUCAUUCUACCUUACUAGUACACGUAGAAUUCUGUUAACUUAAUGCACGAAUGAGACUAACUGAAUAUAGAGUAACGCAUGUGCAGGGCCAAAAAUUGUCCGGUUAGCAACUUUUACGCGGAGUAAAAGGAUUACUCAGGGGUAGUGCAUAUGAUGCCGCGGAUGGGUCAAGAGCCCGAGCAGAAAUUUAAUCGGGCAUUCCCCUUAUAGCAUAGUAAACCCCUGUUACAUUUUGGCAGGGAUUUCACAGCAGGCUCAAUCGCGCCAUCCACGGUAAUGAUUCUUCACUGAGGUCCUGCUGAGGAUUUAUCGGGAAUUCUAAAUCAGAGAUUCCAAACUAGGGCCUUACUAAACUCAGAACCCUAAAAAAUUGUAGACUUAAAUAUUAAAAAUCAACGCUGUCUUGUUCGGGAAGUCGCGGAUAGAUUCCGGGGGGUACACACCUGCUGCCCCAGGUAACUUAUAAUCUAUUAACAAUUGUUAAUUCAUUGUGAAUAUGCAACCGGCAAAAUUUAUUAACUAUUCGUUUGUUAUACAAUUAUCUAACUGUUUAUUAAAAUGUUAAAAUUUGUUUAAUAUUGUCCUCGAAAAUUCAUUUAAUCCAUCUGUGCACCGCUGACUCCUCAAAAAAUGCAAUGCAGAUAUAUAAUGUUUAGUAUAUAGUGUACUUUGUUUAGAUGUUUCACUAUUUUAAAAUUGUUUAUUGAAAAAUCAAGAAGCC